CCUACGGGUGGCAGCAGUGAGGAAUAUUGGUCAAUGGACGAGAGUCUGAACCAGCCAAGUAGCGUGAAGGAUGACUGCCCUAUGGGUUGUAAACUUCUUUUAUAUGGGAAUAAAACGUUCCACGUGUGGGAUUUUGUAUGUACCAUAUGAAUAAGGAUCGGCUAACUCCGUGCCAGCAGCCGCGGUAAUACAGAGGAUCCGAGCGUUAUCCGGAUUUAUUGGGUUUAAAGGGAGCGUAGGUGGAUUGUUAAGUCAGUUGUGAAAGUUUGCGGCUCAACCGUAAAAUUGCAGUUGAAACUGGCAGUCUUGAGUACAGUAGAGGUGGGCGGAAUUCGUGGUGUAGCGGUGAAAUGCUUAGAUAUCACGAAGAACUCCGAUUGCGAAGGCAGUUCACUGGACUGCAACUGACACUGAGGCUCGAAAGUGUGGGUAUCAAACAGGAUUAGAUACCCUAGUAGUC
rnacentral:rRNA from 1 species